GAUGAACGCUGGCGGCGUGCCUAAUACAUGCAAGUCGAGCGAACGGACGAGAAGCUUGCUUUUCUGAUGUUAGCGGCGGACGGGUGAGUAACACGUGGAUAACCUACCUAUAAGACUGGGAUAACUUCGGGAAACCGGAGCUAAUACCGGAUAAUAUUUUGAACCGCAUGGUUCAAAAGUGAAAGACGGUCUUGCUGUCACUUAUAGAUGGAUCCGCGCUGCAUUAGCUAGUUGGUAAGGUAACGGCUUACCAAGGCAACGAUGCAUAGCCGACCUGAGAGGGGAAUCGGCCACACUGGAACUGGGCAACGUUCCGAACUCCUAGGGAAGCCGGCGGUGGGGAUUCUUCCGCAAUGGGCGAAGGCCUGACGAAGCAACGCCAGGUGGGUAAUGAAGGUCUUCGGAUGGUAAAACUCGGUUAUUAGGAAAAAACAUAUUUGUAAGUACUGUGCACAUCUUGACGGUACCUAAUCAGAAAGCCACGGCUAACUACGUG
rnacentral:rRNA from 1 species